GCUGGGUGCAGUGGUGCUCGCCUGUCAUCCCAGUAGCUCGGGAGGCUGAGGCAGGAGGAUCUCAAGUUCAAGGCCAGCCUCAGCAAAUUAGUGAGACCCCCUAAGCAACUCAGUGAGACCCUGUCUCUA
rnacentral:sRNA from 1 species